rnacentral:rRNA from 1 species
AGAGUUUGAUCCUGGCUCAGAAUGAACGUUGGCGGCGUGGAUUAGGCAUGCAAGUCGCGCGAGAAGGGUUCUUUUGCUUGCAUUAGGGCCCGGAAAGCGGCGAAAGGGAGAGUAACGCGUGGAUACCUGCCCCGGGAUCCGGGAUAGCUGCGGGAAACUGCAGGUAAUACCGGAUAAUGUCCCCGGACCAAAGGUGAAAUUCCGUCUUGGGAUGGGUCCGCGUCCUAUUAGCUUGUUGGUGGGGUAAUGGCCUACCAAGGCUGUGAUGGGUACCGGGUGUGAGAGCAUGGCCCGGCUCACUGGGACUGAGACACUGCCCAGACACCUACGGGUGGCUGCAGUCGAGAAUCUUCCGCAAUGGACGAAAGUCUGACGGAGCGACGCCGCGUGCGGGAUGAAGGCCUUCGGGUUGUAAACCGCUGUCAGUUGGGAGGAAAUGCAUAAGGGUUCUCUCUUAUGUUUGACCGAUCUUCAGAGGAAGUCCGGGCUAAGUUCGUGCCAGCAGCCGCGGUAAUACGAACCGGACAAACGUUAUUCGGAACCACUGGGCUUAAAGAGUGCGUAGGCGGCUUCGUAGGUUGGGUGUGAAAUCCCACGGCUCAACCGUGGAACUGCGCUCAAAACCACGAAGCUUGAGGGAGGUAGAGGUAAGCGGAACUGAUGGUGGAGCGGUGAAAUGCGUUGAUAUCAUCAGGAACACCGGUGGCGAAGGCGGCUUACUGGGCCUCUUCUGACGCUGAGGCACGAAAGCUAGGGUAGCGAACGGGAUUAGAUACCCCGGUAGUCCUAGCUGUAAACGAUGAGCACUUGUUCGAGGGGACCUCCACAUCCUCUCGGACGUAGC